rnacentral:rRNA from 1 species
GAUGAACGCUGGCGGCGUGCCUAACACAUGCAAGUCGAGCGAUUUACUUCGUUAAAGAGCGGCGGACGGGUGAGUAACGCGUGGGUAACCUGCCCUGUACACACGGAUAACAUACCGCAAGGUAUGCUAAUACGGGAUAAUAUGAGAGAGUCGCAUGGCUUUCUUAUCAAAGCUUUUGCGGUACAGGAUGGACCCACGUCUGAUUAGCUAGUUGGUAAGGUAACGGCUUACCAAGGCGACGAUCAGUAGCCGACCUGAGAGGGUGAUCGGCCACAUUGGAACUGAGACACGGUCCAAACUCCUACGGGAGGCAGCAGUGGGGAAUAUUGCACAAUGGGCGAAAGCCUGAUGCAGCAACGCCGCGUGAGCGAUGAAGGCCUUCGGGUCGUAAAGCUCUGUCCUCAAGGAAGAUAAUGACGGUACUUGAGGAGGAAGCCCCGGCUAACUACGUGCCAGCCGCCGCGGUAAGAC